rnacentral:rRNA from 1 species
UACGAAGGGGCUAGCGUUGCUCGGAAUCACUGGGCGUAAAGGGUGCGUAGGCGGGUCCUUAAGUCAGGGGUGAAACUCCCGAGGCUCAACCUCGGAACUGCCUUUGAUACUGGGGAUAUCGAGUCCGGGAGAGGUGAGUGGAACUGCGAGUGUAGAGGUGAAAUUCGUAGAUAUUCGCAAGAACACCAGUGGCGAAGGCGGCUCACUGGCCCGGUACUGACGCUGAGGUGGCGGAAAGCGUGG